rnacentral:piRNA from 1 species
UCAGCCAACAGAAUCCUGGAUUUGAGUC